GGGAUAAUAGUGAAUUAGAUAGGAAUGAUUCAUCAGGACUCAAGGUUGCUACUAGACUUAGCAACGUAAUGUUGAACCUAAUCCUUAGAAGUGCAGGCCAUGUGUGUUGUGAAAUUCCAAAGUAAAAAAUUAUCUUACAACUCACUAAAAGAAUUUUUAAUAAAAAGAACUCAAAUUGACUUACUCCUGACUAGUUAUUGGGCUUUUUAGAUUUUAUAUACUUUGUGUGUUUAUCAUUUCAGCACUAAAGCAUAGAAAUUAGGUUUUUUCCUUUUUUUUUGAAUCAAAAUACUUAUUUAAAAAUAGAAAAUGUGAAAAAUAGCUUCAAAAAUUCGAAUCCUAUACCCCCCAACCUAGAUCAGACAUUGUCCUCAAUGUUUAUUUUUUUUUAAUAUUAUAUUAUUAUAAUUUUUUUUUCGUUAUUUUAUUUUGGACGAAAAUAUUAUGCAUAUGGAAGAUAGAAGCAUUGUACCUUAGUUGCAUCAGUAAUAUGAGGACAUCUGAAAAAAAUGCGACAAGAAAAUGUGCAAAAAUAACUUAUGAAAAUUGGGUUGCCUCCCAACAAGCGCUAAGUUUAACGUCUUCAGCCAGACGCAGUACAUCUUUAUCAAAUCAUACCGGGUUCAUGCCGAGUUCUCCAAGGAAGAAAAUUCGUGGAAAACUGAUUGUCGGGCACAGAGUUGACUGCUUCUAUGGUCUUUUCUAUAGUAACGUCAAAAUGGGUCAAGCAUGUUUUCAGAGGUUCAUCUGCCAAAAUAUAGGGAAGGGCUUCUUCUAAA
rnacentral:lncRNA from 1 species